rnacentral:tRNA from 1 species
GUGUUCGUAGCUCAGCUGGAUAGAGCAACGGCCUUCUAAGCCGUGGGUCGAGGGUUCGAAUCCCCCCGGGCACAC